rnacentral:rRNA from 1 species
GACGAACGCUGGCGGCGUGCUUAACACAUGCAAGUCGAACGAUGAAGCUGGAGCUUGCUCCGGUGGAUUAGUGGCGAACGGGUGAGUAACACGUGAGCAAUCUGCCCUUGACUCUGGGAUAACUGCGGGAAACUGUAGCUAAUACCGGAUAUGAGGCUCGAAGGCAUCUUCGGGUCUGGAAAGAAUUUCGGUCAAGGAUGAGCUCGCGGCCUAUCAGCUUGUUGGUGAGGUAAUGGCUCACCAAGGCGACGACGGGUAGCCGGCCUGAGAGGGUGAACGGCCACACUGGGACUGGGACACGGCCCAGCCUCCUACGGGAGGCAGAAGUGGGGAAUAUUGCACACUGGGCGAAAGCCUGAUGCAGGAACGCCGCGUGAGGGAUGAAGGCAUUCGGGUUGUAAACCUCUUUUAGCAGGGAAGAAGCGAAAGUGACGGUACCUGCAGAAAAAGCACCGGCUAAAUACGUGCCAGCCGCCGCCGUAA